rnacentral:rRNA from 1 species
CGAGUUUGAUCAUGGCUCAGAACGAACGCUGGCGGCGCGCCUAACACAUGCAAGUCGAACGAGAAUCCGGGGCAACCCGGUAGUAAAGUGGCAAACGGGUGAGGAAUACAUGGGUAACCUACCCUUGAGAAGGGAAUAACCCGCCGAAAGGUGAGCUAAUACCCUAUACGCUAUCUUUUUUUCGAAAAGGAUAGGAAAGCCGGGUCGAGGACCUGGUACUCAAGGAGGGGCUCAUGUCCUAUCAGCUUGUUGGUGGGGCAACGGCCUACCAAGGCUACGACGGGUAGCUGGUCUGAGAGGAUGAUCAGCCACACUGGCACUGAGAUACGGGCCAGACUCCUACGGGAGGCAGCAGUGAGGAAUAUUGCGCAAUGGGCGAAAGCCUGACGCAGCGACGCCGCGUGGGGGAUGAAGGUUUUCGGAUUGUAAACCCCUUUCAUGAGGAAAGAUAAAGUGGGGUAACCACUUAGACGGUACCUCAAGAAGAAGCCACGGCUAACUCGUG